rnacentral:tRNA from 1 species
GUUUUAGUGGUGUAUCAAACAUACUAUAUUUUCACUAUAGAGCAAGGAAAUUAAUUCCUCUGAAACC